CUGGUUGAUCCUGCCAGAGGUCACUGCUAUCGGGGUUCGAUUAAGCCAUGCGAGUCGAGAGGGUUCAGGCCCUCGGCGGACUGCUCAGUAACACGUGGAUAACCUGCCCUAAGGUGGAGCAUAACCCCGGGGAACUGGGGAUAAUACUCCAUAGGUUAGAGAUACUGGAAUGUUCUUUAAUCGAAAGUUCCGGUGCCUUAGGAUGGAUCUGCGGCCGAUUAGGUAGUCGUUGGGGUAACGGCCCAACAAGCCUGUAAUCGGUACGGGUUGUGGGAGCAAGAGCCCGGAGAUGGAAUCUGAGACACGAUUCCAGGCCCUACGGGGCGCAGCAGGCGCGAAAACUUUACAAUGCAGGAAACUGUGAUAAGGGAACCCCGAGUGCCCGUAUACGCGGGCUGUCCGGGUGUAUAAAAAGCAUCUGAAGAAAGGGCCGGGCAAGACCGGUGCCAGCCGCCGCGGUAAUACCGGCGGCUCGAGUGGUGACCACUUUUAUUGGGCUUAAAGCGUUCGUAGCUGGACUCUUAAGUCUCUUGGGAAAUCCCGCGGCUCAACCGUGGGGCGUUUAAGAGAUACUGGGAGUCUAGGAACCGGGAGAGGUAAGAGGUACUUCGGGGGUAGAAGUGAAAUUCUGUAAUCCUCGAGGGACCACCGAUGGCGAAGGCAUCUUACCAGAACGGCUUCGACAGUGAGGAACGAAAGCUGGGGGAGCGAACGGGAUUAGAUACCCCGGUAGUCCCAGCCGUAAACGAUGCGCGUUAGGUGUACUGGUGACCACGAGUCACUGGGGUGCCGAAGGGAAACCGUGAAACGUGCCGCCUGGGAAGUACGGUCGCAAGGCUGAAACUUAAAGGAAUUGGCGGGGGAGCACCAC
rnacentral:rRNA from 1 species